UCAGACGAUGCGUCAUGCAUAUCAAUAAGCGGAGGAAAAGAAACUAACUAGGAUUCCCUCAGUAACGGCGAGUGAAGCGGGAAGAGCUCAAAUUUGAAAUCUUCAAGGUUUUACCUUGACGAAUUGUAGUUUAAAGAAGUGUUUUCUGUUGAAGUUUUGGUAAAAGUUCUUUGGAAUAGGACAUCAUAGAGGGUGAGAAUCCCGUAUUUGACCAUUAUUUUCAGCUGUGUGAUACACUUUCAAAGAGUCGGAUUGUUUGGGAAUGCAGUCCAAAAUGGGUGGUAAAUUUCAUCUAAAGCUAAAUAUUGGCGAGAGACCGAUAGCGAACAAGUACCGUGAGGGAAAGAUGAAAAGAACUUUGAAGAGAGAGUUAAACAGUACGUGAAAUUGUCAAAAGGGAAGCGUUUGACACCAGUGUUGUUUUCUCGAAAAUCAAUUAAAAAGAGUUGGAUUUUGUGUUGUAUUGACCUUAACAGCUUGCUUCACUCUUUUCCUGCUUUUUUUAAUGCACUUUUCGUUUAACAAGUCAACAUCAGUUUCUUUUGUUGUAAAAGGGUCAUUGGAAGGUGGCUUUCUCUUCGGAGAAAGUGUUUAUAGCCUUUGAUCUCUGCAAUCGGAGAGACUGAGGUCUGCAGCGUAGAUCCUUCGGGGUUAGAUACAUUUGUGCUAAGCUACAGCUUUUCAUAGACAACUUGUUGACUAUGUUUAGUCUUGUAACUUACCCGCUUAUGCUAUUUUACCUACGCUUAGGAUGUUGAUAUGCAUGACUGAUAU
rnacentral:rRNA from 1 species